CCGGAAAACCGCGUACCGUCGCCGUGGGGUGAACCCGGUCUCGCUGCGCGCCACGCGUCCCUGGUUAGGACGCGUCGCGGACGAGGGUUUGCGCGCCCGCCGUCACGGAUCCCGCCGUCGACACACGUCCAAGACGGUACGUCACGAAACGCGCCGGGUGCCGGGAGGAGGGCGCGACUCGUGUCCAGGACGGCUUUCGAGCAGCAGAUGAUCUACGGGGGGGGGGGGGGUGAUCUGCGAAUCCACGACGAGUGAUCUACGUUUUAUUAGUAUAAAAGCACGUUAUAUUUUUUUACUACAAUAAACAUUUUAUAAUAUUCAGACGCACGCAUUAUAGACAGACUCCGACCGACGAACGAUUUGAAUCUGACCUAUCCAGCAACAUUGCUAAUGACUCGUGGUUAUAUUGUAAACGUCAUUACUGGUUAUCGCAAUACCGUCCCGCUGCGGUCUACGAUAAUAUCACAAACUACACCUUGUACAAUGCGGUAGAUCACCUGCUACACGAAUGCCUCCAGGACGAUUUCAAAAGAAACGGUCCGUGCAAAAGGACGCACCGACGCCAGAGAGCGUUUCAUUAUCGACGGUGUUCGUCGUGAUCGUUUUCCACGUUUCGGACACUCGGAAUAAUCGGGUGGCACUGACGUGCGCACGCAGGGAACAACAGCGGCAAAACGUUUCGGGAGGUGGUCGAAAAUAUGCGAAAUCUUUUAAAUUUUGUUACGUACGUGAAUUCACGGGCAAAAUGUUAUUCGUUUAUUUCACUUGCAGGUCUCGCGGGAAAACAUUGAAAUCAUUAAACGCGUUGGUCCGGUAAUUUAUUUUUAAUAUUUUUCUAGUACAAUAUCGUCGAUGUUAAACCGUUGCUGCUCUCUUUUCGCCGACCUUGAACCGUUUGCACUGUGGUUCAUCACGUGUAAUCAGUGACGGUGCUAGA